AUGAUGCCUGGGGCUGCUCCCCUGGACUCUGCCCCAGGUCCCAGGCUCUUCUGUGGUGUUGUCCUGUGUCUCCUGGGAACAGGUGUGGUGCAUGCUGGGGUCCUCCAGUCCCCCAGACACCUGAUCAAAGCCAAGGGAGGAAAGGCCAUUCUGCAGUGCUCUCCUGACUCUGGACAUAAUACUGUGUACUGGUACCAGCAGGCCGAGGACAAGAGCCUCCAGCUCCUCAUUUCUUAUUAUCGAGAGUCAGAGAGAGAGAAAGGAAGCAUCCCUGAGCGCUUCUCAGCUCGGCAGUUCAGUGACUAUCACUCUGAGCUGAACAUGAGCGCCUUGGAGCUGAGGGACUCCGCGCUGUAUCUGUGUGCCAGCAGCUUGCACAGCCCUGCACAGGGACUGGCUUUCUCUACCCAAACCUUCCUGCCCCAGCUGAGGAUGUCACUGAGGGAGGGGAUGGAGAGCUCACAGUGGGUCAUGGCCUACCUGGAAAAUGAUAACAGGCAAAGAAUGUUACAGGACCAAGAGGGCAGCAAUGUCAUCAAGAUUCAGUCCCCUUGUGUGGUCGCAGGACGGAGAGCUCACAAAAGCACGGCAGAGAGACAUGAGUGA